ensembl:lncRNA
CGGCGAGAGGAUUUGUACCGCCCGGCGCUGCGUUCAGAGCGGGGGUGCCAGGGACCGUGGUGGAGCGAGGGCGUUUGGGGUGUCCGAAUUCCCGCCCUCCUCGGCUGCUUCGACGCUGUCUCCAGACAGAUCCAGGUUGGAGAGGAGACCGUGACUAUCCACAGGCCCAUCUUUUGCCUUGCCAGAAACCCCGUCAUGGUCCACAACCUGACGGACAGCGAGGCCUACCUGCCUGGUAAGAGGGCGGAUUAAACCCAGUUGGCUCACGGUCAUCGCGUCUCUUCCCUGGGGCUGAGAACUUCUCGGAAGCGACUCCCCCUCUGCGGAGCAGAGCCAAAAAUUUGGGGGUUUUGUCUUUCUGGGAAAGACAACGAUCGUUUCGACUUGGGAAGCGCCUGUGGAAGGACCAAUGGGUGAACGUCUCCAUCCCUCUCUUUUGGGUGUUUUUUUUUCAGGCAACAAGGAGCUAGAGCCCCUCAAAUACUGCAAGGUGGCCGCAGCCGCCUCGGUGUCCCGGCAUCAAGCGGAGGGCUGCAUCCAGGGCACCAUGUCCCUCCUCUCUUACUGCCUGGGGAAGGGGGAGAUGUCCUGAGGGACACCGGGGUGCUCCUCACUGAAGGCAAGACAGUAGAAAUGAAGUUCUACUACGACUUCCUGGAGACGUUUUCUGGGAAGGAGAACUUGGAACAAGAGAUUUUCAAGGUGAGUGGUUCUGUUUCUCCGUGGCGCGCGCGGGCAGUCCCAUGGCGGUGGCCCGGCAGGAUAAGGCCAGAUGAGAGCUGAUGGUCCUACCAACUCUCCCUGCCUCAGGCUCCACCAAUACGGCCUCACAGCCAUGUUGAGAACGUCCCACCAUCUUGGAGCUCCUCCACUGCAGGUCUCCCGGCUGCUGGACAUGGUGGUAUCCCGGAUGGUACCUGUGGCCUCCCUGAGUUUCUCUGGCCAUGCCGUCAUCUUUCCCGAGCUUGAAAUGGAGUUUGUGCACAAACCACCUCUCAGGGCUCUUCUCAAGACCUCGAGACAAGUCCCUGGCGAGAACGAGGAGAAGAGAGUUUCUGCCACCUCUUGGAUAAGGCAAAGCAGCUCCUGACUCCUUUCAAAAGUGCCCCCAACCAAAUUCUGUCACUUGACUUGGAAAUCUCCGGCGCUGAGUGUCAAAGGGCUCCGACCUGUGCCAGAGCAUCCCCCAGCUCGGCACAGCCGUUUGUCCUAACCACUCGUUGGCUUCAUCCAAACGGAGCUGUGGGGUGGGAUGCGCCCAAGGGUGUGGUGGGAGGGUGGUGAUCCACGGCCACUUCCUGCCCGACAAGAAACGCCCCCCCCAGAAGAGUCCCUGUCACCUCCCCGCUCCCCCUUCCCACAGCGGGAGCUCACGAUGCCGUCAUAACCCCGUGGCAAUGGGGCACUGGGGGCAGAGAGGCUGCGAUGGCGGCUACAAGUGAACGGCCCUCUUGGACCUUUGGGGAGGGGCCGGAGCACCCUUGCGUGUCACUGGGGCUGGCAGCAUCCCAGCGAUGCUCUUCUGACGAGGUUUCUCCUCCCAGUUCCAGUGGGGUGUCCUGGGUUUGCUGCUCCAAGCCCACCUGACAAGUUCCAGGAGAUCACCGGGCAGAAGAAGAGGAAGAUCCAGUCUUUGGUCAGGUAAGGCUGAAGGCUCAGAGCUGAGGGUCUACACAGGGUUGUG